GGUUUGUCAGAAGAACUGUAGUUCAGAGUUCCAGCAGGACAGAAUGGAGCCCACCUUGCUCUGUGUGUUACUCUUGCUGAAUACAUACAUCAACUCUGGACACUCUGAAGAUGAUGCUCUGCUCAAAGCUACACUGACUGUACAACCAAACCCUGUGUUCCCUGG